rnacentral:rRNA from 1 species
UGCCAGCCGCCGCGGUAAUACGGGGGGUGCAAGCGUUAUCCGGAAUCAUUGGGCGUAAAGCGCCUGUAGGUUGUUUAGUAAGUCCGUUGUUAAAGACUAGGGCUCAACCCUAGAAAAGCGAUGGAAACUACUAGACUAGAGUAUGGCAGGGGUAGAGGGAAUUUCUAGUGUAGCGGUGAAAUGCGUAGAUAUUAGAAAGAACACCGGUGGCGAAAGCGAUUUUCUGGACUGAUAUUGACGCUGAGAUGCGAAGGCAUGGGUAGCAAACGGGAUUAGAUA